rnacentral:misc_RNA from 1 species
GAUGAAGAACGCAGCGAAAUGCGAUAAGUAAUGUGAAUUGCAGAAUUCAGUGAAUCAUCGAAUCUUUGAACGCAUCUUGCGCUCCUUGGUAUUCCGAGGAGCAUGCCUGUUUGAGUGUCAUUGCUGCCCUCAAGCACGGCUUGUGUGUUGGGCCUCCGUCCUCCUCCCGGGGGACGGGCCCGAAAGGCAGCGGCGGCACCGCGUCCGGUCCUCGAGCGUAUGGGGCUUCGUCACCCGCUCUUGUAGGCCCGGCCGGCGCUUGCCGACACAUCAAUCUUUUUUCCAGGUUGACCUCGGAUCAGGUAGGGAUACCCGCUGAACUUAAGCAUAUCAAUAAGCGGAGGA